ensembl:snRNA U6 U6 spliceosomal RNA
GUGUUUGCUUUGACAGCACAUAUACAAAAAUUGGAAUGAUACAGAGAAGAUUAGCAUGGCCCCUGUGCAAGGAUGACACGCAAAUUCAUGAAGCAUUCCAUAAAAAA